rnacentral:rRNA from 1 species
AACGAACGCUGGCGGCAGGCCUAACACAUGCAAGUCGAACGCCGUAGCAAUACGGAGUGGCAGACGGGUGAGUAACGCGUGGGAACAUACCCCUGGUUCGGAAUAGCUCAGGGAAACUUGAGCUAAUACCGGAUACGUCCGAGGUUUUAAUCGACCUGGGAGAAAGAUUUAUCGCCGGAGGAUUGGCCCGCGUCUGAUUAGCUUGUUGGUGAGGUAAUGGCUUACCAAGGCUACGACUGUAACCGGCCUGAGAGGGCGGACGGUCACACUGACACUGAAUAACGGGUCAGACUCCUACGGGAGGCAGCAGGUCGGGAAUUUUGGGCAA